AGGGACCUGGCGGGGGGCCAGGUUAGCCGACCCGCAGGGCCGUUAAGGAUACUUAUUAGGAAGGACAUCGGGUACAGCACCAUGUUGGUGGGGAGAACCAGACAAGAGGAAGCCACAGAUGGAUCAUGGAGAGCGACAGGAAGAAAAUAAGGUGGCUACCUGCAGUUGGUGACAGUGCUUUGCUGCCGCGGAAGGCUCCGGACCAUGUCGCUGGCUCAGUAAUCCAUUGCUCGACUUCAUUAACCACAGGAAGACAUUAAGUGAAUGUAAGGACCAGAAGAGCCUGGAAACCACGUGAUGAGCAGCCUUUACGUUCUGGGCUCUGGUAUAUUUUAUGGCACCUCGACUGUGUAUCAAGCUCUCCUUCCUGGACUCAUUAGAACUGUGUGCCCAAAGGUAGCCCUCAACUCUCAGAAGCAAAUAGAGAAUGAUAUAAUUCA